rnacentral:rRNA from 1 species
CCUACGGGUGGCAGCAGUGGGGAAUAUUGGACAAUGGGGGCAACCCUGAUCCAGCCAUGCCGCGUGUGUGAAGAAGUCCCUCGGGUUGUAAAGCACUUUCAGUGAGGAAGAACGCCUGGUGGUUAAUACCCAUCAGGAAAGACAUCACUCACAGAAGAAGCACCGGCUAACUCCGUGCCAGCAGCCGCGGUAAUACGGAGGGUGCGAGCGUUAAUCGGAAUUACUGGGCGUAAAGCGCGCGUAGGUGGCUUGAUAAGCCGGUUGUGAAAGCCCCGGGCUCAACCUGGGAACGGCAUCCGGAACUGUCAAGCUAGAGUGCAGGAGAGGAAGGUAGAAUUCCCGGUGUAGCGGUGAAAUGCGUAGAGAUCGGGAGGAAUACCAGUGGCGAAGGCGGCCUUCUGGACUGACACUGACACUGAGGUGCGAAAGCGUGGGUAGCAAACAGGAUUAGAUACCCCGGUAGUC